UACGUAGGGUGCGAGCGUUGUCCGGAAUUACUGGGCGUAAAGAGCUCGUAGGUGGUUUGUCGCGUUGUUCGUGAAAACUCACAACUCAAUUGUGGGCGUGCGGGCGAUACGGGCAGACUGGAGUACUGCAGGGGAGACUGGAAUUCCUGGUGUAGCGGUGGAAUGCGCAGAUAUCAGGAGGAACACCGGUGGCGAAGGCGGGUCUCUGGGCAGUAACUGACGCUGAGGAGCGAAAAGCGUGGGGAGCGAACAGG
rnacentral:rRNA from 1 species